AGUUCUGACUGCGCCCAUGGUCCUGAUUCGCUAAUUCUCAGAAACCCAAUGGGGAGCCCGGAGCAACGGAAUAAGCAACCAGAUGAUCAGGAUCCCAAAUGGCACUUCGCAGCAGAUUUUCUCAGCAAGGGCUUCCUGUGACCUUAAUUACAUUUAAAUAGAGCUUGUACCUGGCUUUGCAGAGCCAAUCUGCUUCUGACCCUGUUUUUGACCCUGGAGAAAAAGAAGGGCUGUCUAGGCCAGGCAAGACGCACAGGGACAGGACAGUGAGAGGAUGUCAAGCUUGAGGAGUUUGGCAUGAGGCAGUCAGUUGACUUUAUGGCCAGCUUUUUGCCAAAAUUUUCUGUGAAUCUAUUCAAUUUUAGCAAAGAAAAGGAAGAGAAUACUAUUAUCCAAUGCAUACAGAAACUGAAGGCACAUUAUGGUUGAGGUAUGCACCCAGCCCAUUGAUGCCAUUACUCUACUGAAGAUGUAAUAUGACCUGCUGCCUCAUGUUCCUGCUCCCUUGACUUCUCCAUCAGGAAGAAUUGUAUCUUGAAUUGGUUUGUAUUCCUGCACAAAACACCAUGGCCAAGCAGGAAGUUGGAGAGGAAAGGGUUUAUUCAGCUUAAACUUCCACAUUGCUGUGACUCACCAAAGGAAGUCAGGAUAGGAACUCAUACAAGGCAGGACCUUGGAGAAUUCAGGACUACCAGAUCAGUGAUGGCACCACCGACAAUGGGCUGAUCCCCCUUGAUCACUAAUUGAGAAAAUACUUUAAAGCUGGAUCUCAUGGAGGCAUUUCCUCAAGGGAAGCUCCUUUCUCUGUGAUAACUUCACUCUGUGUCAAGUUGACACACAAACCUGACUUCGCUGCAUUAUGCAUUUGCCCACAACCAUCCAGACGUGGUGACACUAUUAUUAGAAAAUAAUUCCAGCAUUAACAUCCGGGAUGAUGAAGGCUGUACACCCUUGAUUAAGGCCACCCAACGAGACAAUGUGGAUUGUGUUUCUGUAUUGCUCACCCACAAUGCGGAUCCAAAUCUGAUAGAUUCCAGUGGGAACACAGCCUUACACCAUGCUAUAUCCAGGGGUAACAUAAGGAUUGUAAAAAUGCUCCUUGAGCACAACGUAGACAUUGAAGCCAAAACAGAGUAUGGCUUGACACUGUUGCAACUUGCAACAUUUGAACAGAAACCUGAAAUGGUAGAAUUUUUAGCAGCAAAGUGUGCAAACAGAUGGAGCUUUCAAAAUGGAUAUGUAAGUAGUUCAUUUCUUUCCGCAGAGUUUACUACUUUAGCAUUAUGAAUCUUGUACUGAAUUCUGUGAAUGUUUUGCUCUGAAAAAGGUUACUCUUACAAUGCCACAUGCAUGACCUUUCCAUAUGGAAUACAUCUGUGUAUGCUGAAAAUUUCUUUUUAGUAGACAUGCAUACCUGUUGUUUAUGUUGAGCCGUAAUUUCUAAAUAACAGUUCUGUGCUUUAAGACACAUUUCAAACCUUUAAUGAUUUAUGUAAAACUUUUAUUUUAUUUUUUUCUUAUUCAUGUUAUAUCUAGUUCACUGACCCCCCUCCUGGUCACCCAAUCCCACACUCUUUCCCUGUCCCUCCUCCACUUCACCUCUGAGCAGUUUGGGACUCCGUGUAUGUCCACACCCUGGCACUUCCUCUCUCUCUGAGGACAGAAAAGUAGCUCAGCUAAAAGGAUAUAUCCCAGGUAGAAUGAAAAGCUUUUUUUGAUACCCCCAUCCCAGUUGAUUGGGACCCAUAUGAAGACCUAGCUGCCUCUCUGCUACAUAGGUUCUUGGAGAUGUCUGUCUGGGCCAUGUUUUGUUCUUUGGUUCUUUGUUCCAUCCCUAAAAGCCCUGAGGGUUCAGGUUAUUUGAUUCUGUUGGUUGUCCUCUGGAGUUCCUAUCUCCUUCAGUCCUGGAAUCCUUCCUCCUAGACUUCCAUAAGUGUCUACAGCCAUACCACCCUGAGCACGCCCAAUCUUGUCUUUAAUUCUUUUAGUGUGUGUGUGCGUGUGUAUGUGUGUAUGCACUUUUGUUUGUGUUUUAAUUAAGAGCUAACUAUUCCUCUUGAGAAAAGGUGAGAGGAGAGCAGUCAGCAAUCAUAGUCAAUUGCUGAAAAGUGAAUUCAACAUUUUGUCUAAUCUUGUUGGCCCAUGCAUUGCAUCCCAGAACUUGGGAAGGAGGACAUGAACAGAUUUCUGUGAGGUAAGGCCAAAAUGCUCCAUAGAGCAGUUUUCAGACCAGCAUGGAUACAUAGUGAGAUCCUGAUUCAAAAAAAAAAUAUUGUUUGUAAACAUCUAAAGUAAGAUACAGAAGGGACACAAAUAUAAAGUACUUAAAACACUUGCUAAAUGUUUUUCUUAUGACUAGCACAAUAAUGCUAACUUUAAAAUCUAUGUCACAGCACUGGAUCAUCAGCUCAGAGAACUGAAGUGAAGCAUGUCAGGUUUAACGAAGAAGUCUUAUAUUUUGAAGAGGAAAGGCCUUUGUCCUGUUAGUGAGAAAAUUACAAGAAGAACAUCACUGUGGUGUUCAAAAGCAGAAGAUGUCAGGUAUACUUCCUGUAUCAAGGAAGCAUAGAAUUCAUGUGCUUGAGGCUCCUGGUGACAUUGAGCCAACUCAAUCCACAAGUGCUGCUGACUGCAGGGCUCCUGCUGACAUAGAACCAACUCCUUCACAACUUGCUCCUGGCAGGGGUGCUCCUGCUGAUGUUGAGCCAACUCAUUCCACCUGUGCUGCUGACACCAGGAUUCCUGCUGAAAUAGAACCAAGUCCUUCACAAUGUGCUCCUGACAGUCCUGCUCCUUCUGAUAUUGAGAAAAUUCAUUCCCCAUGUCCUUCUGACAGUUCUGAAUCUGAUGAAAAACAUGACUCAGAAACAGGUGAGGAACCCAGUCCUUUUCCUGACCUAGAUGAAGAUCUAGCUGAGAAUUUUUAUGACGCUUUAGAGUCAGCCGAUCACACUGGUUAUAGUGGGUCCACUGUCCAGGAACCUGGGUUUUUUUGGGCACCAGAUAUGCUACUGCUGCCGGUAAUGCCCUUGAUGUGAUUUCUUACAUUCCUGUUAUCAAUGAUGACGUGGAUUAGAAAUCGAAUUCAACAAGUGUGGUUUGAAGAAAAUGGCCAAGGACCUUCCUCCAACAGAAAAGAUAAACCCGAUGCCGCUGGAGCUGAACACUCCAACACACACUGACAUAUCCAGACACAGAGUGUAAGGAAGAAGUUUAUUACAUAUAUGUAUAUAUAUAAAUUUUACAGUAAAAUGUUUUAUCUGAUAGAA
rnacentral:lncRNA from 1 species